UAAAUUCUAGCCCAAAAAUAUGGGGUGUUACAAUCGUCUAAGAUUUCCUAAAUCCAACCUUACCAAUCCACCAAAUUGUCAAGCUACCUUGAGUGGACAUGCUCCAAAUAAACUUCAAGGUAACAAAGCUAACUCUUGCACUCUAGUGAAUGAGGCUAUUAGCCAACUAAGUGUGAAUAAUAGCUUAUCUUUAGGUGAGCCUGAUGUUUCUUUACUUCAUGAUGAUAAUGUAUAACU
rnacentral:lncRNA from 1 species